rnacentral:tmRNA from 1 species
GGGGGUGACUUGGUUUCGACAGGGAUAGAGUUGGAUGUCAUUGCAUGCCGAGAAGAUUACCUGACUCGUUAAAAGCGGUGAUAACUUAAAAUUAAAUGCUGAAGAUAAUUUCGCAUUAGCAGCUUAAGCUGCUGCGAUCCUGCCGAUCUUUCCGACGGAUUGGCAACGAUCGACGUAAAGUCGGAUAAGCAAAGCUUAAGUCUGUAAGCGGCGUCGAAAAUUCACAGGCAGGUCUCUUAACAGGUCUGAUUGUCUUCCCGGUUUAGAGAUGAGAUUAAAGACAACUAAGCAUGUAGAUAUGGUAUUGCACAUAUUUUUGGACGCGGGUUCGAUUCCCGCCACCUCCACCA